rnacentral:rRNA from 1 species
CCUACGGGUGGCUGCAGUGGGGAAUAUUGGACAAUGGGGGGAACCCUGAUCCAGCCAUGCCGCGUGUGUGAAGAAGGCCCUCGGGUUGUAAAGCACUUUCAGUGAGGAAGAACGCCUGGUGGUUAAUACCCAUCAGGAAAGACAUCACUCACAGAAGAAGCACCGGCUAACUCCGUGCCAGCAGCCGCGGUAAUACGGAGGAUGCGAGCGUUAAUCGGAAUUACUGGGCGUAAAGCGCGCGUAGGUGGCUUGAUAAGCCGGUUGUGAAAGCCCCGGGCUCAACCUGGGAACGGCAUCCGGAACUGUCAAGCUAGAGUGCAGGAGAGGAAGGUAGAAUUCCCGGUGUAGCGGUGAAAUGCGUAGAGAUCGGGAGGAAUACCAGUGGCGAAGGCGGCCUUCUGGACUGACACUGACACUGAGGUGCGAAAGCGUGGGUAGCAAACAGGAUUAGAUACCCCGGUAGUC